rnacentral:rRNA from 1 species
CCUACGGGUGGCAGCAGUGAGGAAUAUUGGUCAAUGGACGAGAGCCUGAACCAGCCAAGUAGCGUGAAGGAUGAAUGCCCUACGGGUCGUAAACCUCUUUUGUCUGGGAAUAAAAUGUUCCACUUGUGGAAUUUUGUAUGUACCAUAUGAAUAAGGAUCGGCUAACUCCGUGCCAGCAGCCGCGGUAAUACGGAGGAUCCGAGCGUUAUCCGGAUUUAUUGGGUUUAAAGGGAGCGUAGGCGGUCGUUUAAGUCAGCGGUAAAAGCUUGGGGCUCAACCGCGCAGUGCAGUUGAAACUGGCAGCCUUGAGUUGAGGAGAGGUAGGCGGAAUUCGUGGUGUAGCGGUGAAAUGCUUAGAUAUCACGAAGAACCCCGAUUGCGAAGGCAGUUCACCGGCCUGCAACUGACGCUGAGGCUCGAAAGUGUGGGUAUCAAACAGGAUUAGAUACCCUGGUAGUC